rnacentral:rRNA from 1 species
ACUAGAGUAGCACUCGCAUAUCAAUAAGCGGAGGAAAAGAAACUAACAAGGAUUCCCCUAGUAACGGCGAGUGAAGCGGGAAGAGCUCAAAUUUGAAAUCUUAAAGGGUUUCCCUUUACGAAUUGUAGUUUAAAGAAGUGUUUUCUGUUGAGGUUUUGGUAAAAGUUCUUUGGAAUAGGACAUCAUAGAGGGUGAGAAUCCCGUAUUUGACCUUUACUUUCAACUUUGUGAUACACUUUCAAAGAGUCGGAUUGUUUGGGAAUGCAGUCCAAAAUGGGUGGUAAAUUUCAUCUAAAGCUAAAUAUUGGCGAGAGACCGAUAGCGAACAAGUACCGUGAGGGAAAGAUGAAAAGAACUUUGAAAAGAGAGUUAAACAGUACGUGAAAUUGUCAAAAGGGAAGCGUUUGACACCAGUGUUGUUUUUCUGAAAAUCAAUUAAAGAACUGUUUAUGCUAAGCUGUUUAGACUUUAUCAGCUAUCUGUUUAGUUUUGAGCUUUUCUUUAAUGCACUUUUCAGUUAACAAGUCAACAUCAAUUUCUUUUGCUGUAAAAAAGCUUGAGGAAGGUGGCUUGAGAUUCGUCUUAAGUGUUUAUAGCCUCUUGCCUACGCAGUCGGAGAGAUUGAGGUCUGCAGCGUAGAUCCUUCGGGGCUAAAUGCAUUUGUGCUAAGUUAUAGCAUUUUAUAGACAACUUGCUGACUAUGAUUUGUCUGUAGCUUACUCGCUUAUGUUAUUUUACCUACGCUUAGGAUGUUGAUAUCGCGCUCUCACUG